GCCUUAUGCCACUCCACCUAGUAUGAUGGUUAUGACAAUCGGCUUGUCUUCGAGGGGGCUCGGGUUCGAGUCCCGAAUAAGGCA